rnacentral:rRNA from 1 species
UACGGGGGGGGGCAAGCGUUGUUGCGGAAUUACUGGGCGUAAAGGGCGCGUAGGCGGCUCAAUCAGUCGGGCGUGAAAGCUCUGGGCUUAACCCAGAAAAGUCGUUCGAUACUGUUGGGCUAGAGUGUGGAAGAGGCUACUGGAAUUCCGUGUGUAGCGGGUGAAAUGCGUAGAUAUACGGAGGAACACCUGCGGCGAAGGCGGGUAGCUGGGCCAACACGUGACGCUGAUGCGCGAAAGCUAGGGGAGCAAACGGGAUUAAGAAACCCCCAGUAGGUCCAA